rnacentral:rRNA from 1 species
AGUGAACGCUGGCGGUAGGCCUAACACAUGCAAGUCGAACGGCAGCACAGUAAGAGCUUGCUCUUACGGGUGGCGAGUGGCGGACGGGUGAGGAAUACAUCGGAAUCUACUUUUUCGUGGGGGAUAACGUAGGGAAACUUACGCUAAUACCGCAUACGACCUACGGGUGAAAGCAGGGGAUCUUCGGACCUUGCGCGAUUGAAUGAGCCGAUGUCGGAUUAGCUAGUUGGCGGGGUAAAGGCCCACCAAGGCGACGAUCCGUAGCUGGUCUGAGAGGAUGAUUCGCCACAAUGGAACUGAGACCCGGUCCCGACUCCUACGGGAGGCAGCAGUGGGGAAUAUUGGACAAUGGGCGCAAGCCUGAUCCAGCCAUACCGCGUGGGUGAAGAAGGCCUUCGGGUUGUAAAGCCCUUUUGUUGGGAAAGAAAAGCAGCAGGUUAAUACCCCGCUGUUCUGACGGUACCCAAAGAAUAAGCACCGGCUAACUUCGUG